UCCUGGAUGGUGCUCAUCACGCUGGUCUCCCAUUUCCGGGUGUAGGGCCGGAUCUUCUCCACACGGAUGGGGGAACCGUCGCCGGAGGAGGAGGCGUUGUUCCCGCCGGCGAAGAGGAGGAUGGAGGAGGUGGAGGGACUGGUACGGACGUCGCCCCGGAGAACGCAGACGUCGGACCGGAUGCUAGAGGUACGGUCACACCAGAUGGAGUUCUCCGGCACGGAGGAGUAGCUCACCUCGCCGGCGUCGGAGGGGAAGACGGACUCCGGUUCAGAGCCUG
rnacentral:lncRNA from 1 species